GCCCGGUAAGCUCAGCCGGUAGAGCGUUGGACUUUUAAUACAACGGUCAAGGGUUCAAGUCCCUUAACGGGCU
rfam:Ciona savignyi cont_48838, whole genome shotgun sequence.